UCAUUGGCUUCCCUUCCUCUAUCCCUCUUCAGAGUCCCCCUGUCCUUUCCUGUAAUGGUCAGGAGAGAACUCAGACACAGUGGCCACAGUUCAAGAAAGACAAAGGGCGACCGUAAACUAUACCUUAACUCGUGGAACUUCUUCAUGGGGCGAGACCAACUGCCUAUACCUUCAGCAUCUCAGUGAAGUCUUCCUGUGACAUCCAUAGAAGAGAAGAAGAAAUAAAAGAUUAGAGAAAUCAAAUCA
rnacentral:lncRNA from 1 species